GCCAGGUGGCAGUGGUGCACCUAUAGUCCCAGCUACUUUGGAGGCUGGCGCUGCAGGAUCGUGGGAGCCGGGGAGAUCGUAGCUAUGCCGGUUGGAUUUCUGCACUGUUUGGCAUCAAUGUGGUGACCUUCCAGGAGCAGAGAGCCACCAGGUUGCGUAAGGAGUGGGGGCCAGCCCAGGUCGGAAGUGGGGAAGGUCAGAACUGUGCCCGUCGGUAGAGGGAUCGUGCCUGUGAAUAGCACCACACCCCAGCCUAGGCAACACAGCAAGACCCAGUCUCU
rnacentral:SRP_RNA from 1 species